CCCUGUCCCUGCACAGCUGAUCCUCCACAGAAGGCACAGGUUGGUGGGCAUGGGUCAUAGCCAGUCCUAGCAGCUGUCUGGACUGGGUAAAUCCCUCCCAUUGACCUGCUGACAGCAAUCAAGACUCAUCUACAAGAGGAGGGAGUACUCAGCCCAAAUGAAGGGCACACCUCAAAUA